rnacentral:rRNA from 1 species
CACUCCUACGGGAGGCAGCAGUGGGGAAUUUUGGACAAUGGGCGAAAGCCUGAUCCAGCAAUGCCGCGUGAGUGAAGAAGGCCUUCGGGUUGUAAAGCUCUUUUGUCAGGGAAGAAACGGUGAGAGCUAAUAUCUCUUGCUAAUGACGGUACCUGAAGAAUAAGCACCGGCUAACUACGUGCCAGCAGCCGCGGUAAUACGUAGGGUGCAAGCGUUAAUCGGAAUUACUGGGCGUAAAGCGUGCGCAGGCGGUUUAGUAAGUCUGAUGUGAAAUCCCCGGGCUCAACCUGGGAAUUGCAUUGGAGACUGCAAGGCUAGAAUCUGGCAGAGGGGGGUAGAAUUCCACGUGUAGCAGUGAAAUGCGUAGAUAUGUGGAGGAACACCGAUGGCGAAGGCAGCCCCCUGGGUCAAGAUUGACGCUCAUGCACGAAAGCGUGGGGAGCAAACAGGAUUAGAAACCCGAGUAGUCCC